CGCUAGUAGCAAUGCUUUUACUAAGCAUGGCAUAGCUGAAGCCCUCCUUUCUGCCUCCUAGGGUCACACUGUUACUUCGUCUACUACUAAUAACACUAGCCAGCACUGAGGCAUUGCUGAUUCAAAAUUGAAGAAAUCCGCUGAUGAUUCACUCUUUAGCCAAAACCAUCCUCAAGGAGUUUAAUGGAUGUGGUACCACAAGAGAAAUGUACGUCCACAUUGAAAGGUAAGAUGAAUUAUUUCAUCUAGUAGUAUUUUUCUGUUGAUUAAACUUUUGUUUACA
rnacentral:lncRNA from 1 species